AUUGAACGCUGGCGGCAUGCCUUACACAUGCAAGUCGAACGGUAACAGGUCUUCGGAUGCUGACGAGUGGCGAACGGGUGAGUAAUACAUCGGAACGUGCCUAGUAGUGGGGGAUAACUACUCGAAAGAGUGGCUAAUACCGCAUGAGAUCUACGGAUGAAAGCAGGGGAUCGCAAGACCUUGUGCUACUAGAGCGGCCGAUGGCAGAUUAGGUAGUUGGUGGGAUAAAAGCUUACCAAGCCGACGAUCUGUAGCUGGUCUGAGAGGAGGAUCAGCCAAACUGGGGCUCAGGAGCGGCCCAGACUCCUACGGGAGGCAGCAGUGGGGAAUUUUGGACAAUGGGCGCAAGCCUGAUCCAGCAAUACCGCGUGCAGGAUGAAGGCCUUCGGGUUGUAAACUGCUUUUGUACAGACCGAAAAGCCCCGGGUUAAUACCCUGGGGUCAUGACGGUACCGUAAGAAUAAGCACCGGCUAACUACGUGCCAGCCGCCGCCGUAA
rnacentral:rRNA from 1 species